rnacentral:rRNA from 1 species
UGAGUACGAGAUGCUACGGCAUCGAAGCAGUCUAUGUCAUACUUCCAAGAAAAGCUUGCACUGUCAUAAACAAAGAAUGCCUGUACCAUAACCGACACAGGUGGGUAGGUAGAGUAUACUAAGGGGCGCGAGAUAACUCUCUCUAAGGAACUCGGCAAAAUGACUCCGUAACUUCGGGAGAAGGAGUGCCUUAUUUCUAAGGUUGCAAUAACAAGAUCCAAGCAACUGUUUACCAAAAACACAGGUCUCCGCUAAGUCGUAAGACGAUGUAUGGGGGCUGACGCCUGCCCAGUGCCAGAAGGUUAAAGAGGUUGGUUAGCAUUAGCGAAGCUGAUAACUGAAGCCCUGGUGAACGGCGGCCGUAACAAUAACGGUCCUAAGGUAGCGAAAUUCCUUGUCGGGUAAGUUCCGACCCGCACGAAAGGCGUAAUGAUUUGGAUACUGUCUCGGAGAGGGGCUCGGUGAAAUAGACUUGUCUGUGAAGAUGCGGACUACCUGCACCUGGACAGAAAGACCCUAUGAAGCUUUACUGUAACUUGAGAUUGAAAUUGGACUUUAUUUGCGCAGUAUAGGUGGGAGGCGUUGAGAAUAAUCUUGCGGGAUUGUUGGAGCCAUCAGUGAGAUACCACUCUUGUAAUGUUAGAUUUCUAACUUUGUAUCAUUAUCUGGUCAAAGAACAGUUUCAGGCGGGCAGUUUGACUGGGGCGGUCGCCUCCCAAAGGGUAACGGAGGCGCACAAAGGUUUCCUCUGAACGGGUAGAAAUCGUAUCUAGAGUGUAAAGGCAUAAGGAAGCUUGACUGUGAGACCUACAAGUCGAGCAGGGACGAAAGUCGGUCUUAGUGAUCUGACGGUGCUGAGUGGAAAGGCCGUCACUCAACGGAUAAAAGUUACUCUAGGAUAACAGGCUGAUCUCCCCCAAGAGUUCACAUCGACGGGGAGGUUUGGCACCUCGAUGUCGGCUCAUCGCAUCCUGGGGCGGUAGUCCGUCCCAAGGGUUGGGCUGUUCGCCCAUGAAAGCGGUACGCGAGCUGGGUUCAGAACGUCGUGAGACAGUUCGGUCCAUAUCCGGUGUAGGCGUUAGAAUAUUGGGAGGAGCCUUCUCUAGUACGAGAGGACCGAGAAGGACAUACCUCUGGUGUACCAGUUAUCGUGCCAACGGUAAACGCUGGGUAGCUAUGUAUGGAGUGGAUAACCGCUGAAAGCAUCUAAGUGGGAAGCCCACCUCAAGAUAAGUAUUCUCAUC